CAGCAGCCGCGGGAAUACGUAGGGUGCGAGCGUUAAUCGGAAUUACUGGGCGUAAAGCGUGCGCAGGCGGCUCUGUAAGACAGGCGUGAAAUCCCCGGGCUCAACCUGGGAAUGGCGCUUGUGACUGCAAAGCUAGAGUGCGGCAGAGGGGGAUGGAAUUCCGCGUGUAGCAGUGAAAUGCGUAGAUAUGCGGAGGAACACCGACGGCGAAGGCAAUCCCCUGGGCCUGCACUGACGCUCAUGCACGAAAGCGUGGGGAGCAAACAGGAUUAGAUACCCCUGUAGUCCCUGUCUCUUAUAC
rnacentral:rRNA from 1 species